GGGCAUGAUAAAAUCGAUCCACCUAGCAGCAUCCGAUCAAAUACAUUGAUGGCUCCAUUGGCACAUAUGUUAUGGCUGAUAGAUUGAUAAAAAUUCUAUACUUAAAUUAAUUUCAUAUUAAAUUGAUCAUAUAUAUUAAUUAAUUUAAUUUUAUUAUUUAUUUAUUGUAAACACGAUAGUUGGGUCGUGCACUAGGGAAGCUGU
rnacentral:lncRNA from 1 species